UCUCCGUUGGUGAACCAGCGGAGGGAUCAUUACUGGAAUCGCAAGAUCCCACAACCCUGUGAACCUACCGAAACGUUGCCUCGGCGGGUGCCCGGCCUCUGCGCCGGGCGCUGCGCCCGCCGGCGGCCCCCUACUCUGUCUCUGCAGCGUGGCAUCUCAGAGUCCCAGAAAACAAGUCAAGACUUUCAACAACGGAUCUCUUGGCUCUA
rnacentral:misc_RNA from 1 species